AGAUUGAACGCUGGCGGCAUGCCUAACACAUGCAAGUCGAACGGCAGCGCGGGUAGCAAUACCUGGCGGCGAGUGGCGGACGGGUGAGGAAUACAUAGGAAUCUACCCUGUCGUGGGGGAUAACGUAGGGAAACUUACGCUAAUACCGCAUACGACCGAGAGGUGAAAGCGGCGGACCGCAAGGCGUCGCGCGGCUGGAUGAGCCUAUGUCCGAUUAGCUAGUUGGCGGGUAAGAGCCCACCAAGGCGACGAUCGGUAGCUGGUCUGAGAGGAUGAUCAGCCACACUGGGACUGAGACACGGCCCAGACUCCUACGGGAGCAGCAGUGGGGAAU
rnacentral:rRNA from 1 species